UGGACAAUUAGAGUCUUUCAAGGCAUUGGUUGAAGUCAUGAACAACCAAGAAUUUGUGAAUGCUAAAGAUGAUUAUGGCAUGACAGUUUUGCACCUAGCUGUUGCUUACAAGCAAAUUGAGGUAUGGAUUAGAUUGCAUCACCAUAAUAUUUCAGCUUUAAGCUUUUUGUUGCUUUUGGUGAUGGUAUUAAUCUUAUGUAUUCUGAUCAAAAUUGCGCAGACAAUAAAAUUUUUGCUUACCCGUACCAGCGUUGAAGUAAAUGGUCUAAAUGCAAAUGGUUUAACUGCAAUGGACGUUCUUGCACAAAGUAGGAGAGGAUUGAAAGACUUUGACAUUGCCGAGUCCCUUCGAGAUGCCGGAGCUAUAAGAGCCGCAGAAAUUUUGCAUUGGAAGACUGAAACAACACCUCUAAUUGCUCAAAAUGUUGCAACUAACCAACCAGACACACAACAUCAGUGGGUGCAAAAGACUUACAAGAAGGAAGAUUGGCUAACAAGAAAACGAGAUUCAUUGAUGGUGGUGGCAUCACUUAUGGCAACAAUGUCUUUCCAAGCUGGACUAACCCCUCC
rnacentral:lncRNA from 1 species